UGCCGCCGUGGCCGAACGGUCAAAGCACCCGACUUAUGAUCGGGGGAUUCCUGCCAGAAUCUUGAGGGUUCGAUUCCCUCCGGCGGCGUCCA
rnacentral:tRNA from 1 species